AUUGAACGCUGGCGGCAUGCCUUACACAUGCAAGUCGAACGGUAACAGGUCUUCGGAUGCUGACGAGUGGCGAACGGGUGAGUAAUACAUCGGAACGUGCCCGAUCGUGGGGGAUAACGGAGCGAAAGCUUUGCUAAUACCGCAUACGAUCUACGGAUGAAAGCAGGGGACCGCAAGGCCUUGCGCGGACGGAGCGGCCGAUGGCAGAUUAGGUAGUUGGUGGGAUAAAAGCUUACCAAGCCGACGAUCUGUAGCUGGUCUGAGAGGACGACCAGCCACACUGGGACUGAGACACGGCCCAGACUCCUACGGGAGGCAGCAGUGGGGAAUUUUGGACAAUGGGCGAAAGCCUGAUCCAGCCAUGCUGCGUGCAGGAUGAAGGCCUUCGGGUUGUAAACUGCUUUUGUACGGAACGAAAAGACUCUUUCUAAUAAAGAGGGUCCAUGACGGUACCGUAAGAAUAAGCACCGGCUAACUACGUG
rnacentral:rRNA from 1 species